UUUAUUUUAUUUUCAAAAAUGGGGGAGGGGGAGAGGUGUUAAGUUAGGGGAAGCUCAGGAAGAGGGAAAGGAAUUCCCCCUGAACCUCCCAAUUCAGAUUAAGUGGUCCAGCUGCACCACCACAACAUGCCCCUCAUGGAAGUGGGAGGAGGCCAGAGGGCCACCUGGCCCACUGCUCUCUUCAGUCUUGUAUAGACUGCUGGAUCACCCAGGAAGCCACAGCCUGAUUUCUCCAACCAGUUGAGUGGAUGGGGCUACAGUGCUUCAAUGCUGUGUGUGCGUGUGUCUGUCCAGUUCCCAAUCCUCUCAUGUUCUAUGGAAUUAGAGAAAUCAGAUACUGCCCCAUAUAAAGGAGUAAUGGUGGCAUGGCCUAGGCCAUUCUACCUUACCAUCUGUUUUCCCAUCGAACUUUGAGGAGUAACACUGUGUGAUUUAUGGGCAUGCAUGGGGGAAAAUUUAUGCUGUUGGGUUGCAUGCUUUUCAUAAGGAUGAUGGCUUUGCUGAUUGAUUACACAGUUCAAGAAUAGCAGGAAACGAUAAAUAUUUUGUGUUAUGUGUUUGUGUGUAUGGCUCUUGGACUAACAUCUCCCAUUGCCCUGGAGACUUGACACUGAUAGUGUGGGAGCAUAGUUUGGGUUUGACCACUACUGUUGAUUCCAACUCCUGUGGUGAGCUGGAGCACUUGGUGGGGGGAAUUAGCUUAAGUUUAGGUUUGUGUAGUUUAUGUAGAAGUGUGUCUGUCUUACUAUAGGAGUGUGCAGUGGGACCCUUUUUCAUUGUUUUGUCCUUUGGAGGACUUGGUUUGAACCAAACUGAUCUUAUAGGUAGGGCCCAGGGAGUGAUCAGACUCCCUUGGACUUGAACUGUCACUAAACAGGACCGUUGCAUACUUAUCAGACAGACAGCACUGCAGCUGAGGUAUAGCUAGACAUUAGCAACCUUAAGUUGCACGUGUGCAGGGCUAUUCUAGCACACUUAAUGAUGGGCAACACUGACAGCACACAUUAUGAGCAGCAGGCCAUUUAAGGUGCUUGGGUACAGCAGUUGCUUAAGGAUACUAAGAGAGGGAGAGAUGCAGGAAGGCAGAGGGGUGCCUCUGAUUUCCUCUCCCCCCACUCUCUGCCAUCAUCCAGAGUGGAGUAGGAAGUGGGUAGGCUGUGAUGUCAUCUGUGGAUUUGUGGUGAUGGAUGGCAGUGCCAACAUCUGGUUAAUGGUCAAGGGCUAGUGCCUCAAUUGCAUUUCUUGCAUGGCCUACUUCGUUCACCUUUUUAUGAGGUGCCCUCAGGUUGGGAAAUACCACUCCCAACUUCCAGCAGCUGAUCCAGCUUUGCCGUAAGAUUUCAGGCCACUUCUUACAUAGUGUGAAGGCUACUUACAGAUUGUGUGAGAAGCAUGUAAAGUGGGGUGUUCAGAACACCACCUCAUCACUAACGUACCCAUUCCACCCAUGCCAUGUUUAAGUGUCUGGUGGAGCAAAGGAAUACCUGCACAAGAUGGCAGGUGACUUGACAUCAUGCACAGGGGGACACUCACCCACAUGAUUUUUUGUCCUGAAGCCCUUCAAGAACUUCACCAAGGCACUCUGUGGUGACAUGUGCAGUCUGGGUCACGUGUAGCCUGGGUCCCUUGGUGCAGAAGCUCCACGGAAAGACCAGUGAAUUCUUAAGUGGCCCAGGGGAGGAGGCUGAAAGAUGGCAUCAACUGUCAUCUCUAGCCUCUCACCAGGGAAAAGGUCUACAUGCUAGUGACCAUGUGUGGACACCCCCCCCCCAUCAAGGGUGUGGUUGUCCUAGCAGCCAAUGUUCUCUCCCAGUAGAGAAACAAUCUCUGCAGGGAGGUAAGGCAAGGGGUGUCCUCUCCAAGGACAAGGCGUACGACGAGGAUGAAAGUGGCAACCAACCCACGAUGCCCUCUUAUCCAGGUAAGGACCCUUCCCCAACCACCACCUCACAAGCAUUCUUCUUGAAUGUCUUGGGGUGGGCACUGGAGGCACUGGAGAGAGGAUCGGGCAGAGAACAUGAUAAGGGACUAACUUGUGGAGCCCUAUGAAUUGCCCAACACCAAUCCUUUGCAGUACCGGGCCAAAAAGGAGACAGUCUGGACUUCUCCCUUACAGUGCUGAAAUGUCUCCCUUGUCCUCUUAUGAGCAUGCAGAAUGAAUGGGUGUUCUCACAGAUGGGCAACAUUGUCAGUUCUCACAGCUCUUGGCUGCUCCCCUGGCAUGUGGAACAGUUGGUCUUCCUCAGGGUCAACCUUCCAUUCAGUAACUUCCCAACCUCAGACUUUGAGGAUGCUUAGAAGGGUGAUUGGCACUGCAUGGCAUCAGGACCAUCAUGCCUCCAAGCAUCCUCCUGGUCUGAUUGGGGUGAGAAGGGAAUGUUCAUUCCAGUUUUCCAUAGCGAACCAAAAAACCUAACUGACAUGAUUGGACUAUGGAAAAAUGCACAGAAUGGACCUGUGAGGGCUGGUGUGGUGGGCCAAGAGGACAGGUUGGGGGAACACAUUCCAGCUUUCCCCAAAACAGGCUAGUUCCAGUUAUUUCUCUCUGUUACACUUCAGUAGCACUAACGUUGUUUCACAUAUUCCACCUUGGUUCAAACAUGUUGCACACCAGUUCAUUAACCAAACUAGCACUUCCAGUUAAAGACUUCCUGUUCCACAUGUUUUCUUCUAUUAACACUUACUUUCCUCCCUACUGCAGAUCCCACAUCAGUGGCAAAAGAAAUGUCCCUCACUCUGGAGAUACCGGUGGAACGCUGUUCCUGCAGCAAUUCAGUUCACGCCAGGAAGCACAGGAAUGGUGUUGGCCCAGUGUUCGGGUUUGAAGGUCCCUGUCCCUGAUUGGCAGUGAAGUGCUUCAAGGAACUGCAGCUGGUGUCGAAGAGGAGGCAGGAUGGGUUUUUUGGGAUUGUUGUUUUGUCUUAAAUUCCAAAACCUAGAAUGUGUCAUAUGCCUGUUCCUGAAUAACUUGCUGUAUAGUUUUUGAAAUUUUACAUAAACCA